rnacentral:sRNA from 1 species
AUCGCAUAAAGAGGUUAACCUCCGCCGCCCGCCUCACCCGGCACGCCGCCGCGCCGCCCGCCUCACCCGCGCCAUACCUCCACCGCUCCCCUCACCAGCCACGCCACCGCGCCGCCCGCUUCACCCGCUGCCCGCCGUGCCAUACCUGCGCGACCGCCCGCCUCACCCGGCAAGACGCCACGCCGCCCGCCUCACCCUGGGCCUUCCCCGCGCCGUACCUCUGCCGCCCGCCCCCCUCCCGCCCUCCCUGCGCCGUAUGUCCGCCGCCGGCCUCGCCAGCCACGUCACUGUGCCGCCCGUCUCACCUGCUGCAGUACCCUCCCCCCUCUCCCUCGCGUCGCCCGCCUCCCUUCGCCGCACUCCCCUCUCUCCUCUCCCUCGCAUCGCCUGCCUCCCCUCACCGCUGCCUUAGGAUCUUCUCCGCACCGCCACCGUUCAGUCGUCGUCGCCGUGUCUCCUUCGUCGCGCACAGCCGUCAUGGUCUCAGGUCGCUUGCACCUUCUCCCAUGCUGACUAACGGCGUCACCGCCGCCGCCGCCAUCAUCACCAGCACCGACCUCUCCUCUCAGAUAGCCAAAAACAUCAUGUUGAGCUUUGAGUGGUCUCUCCGAGAAAUGGAGCCUGAAGAAGCAGUAGACAAUUGAUGUCGUUGCAAUUUCAUGCGCAAUCUCCAAAUGAGAGGUACACUGUACAAGUCUUGAAAAAAGUUGUGUAACUGAUCUGAAUUGAAAUGUAAAAACAAAAAUUAACCAGUUAAGUUUUGAGUGGUCUCUCCAUGCCUCUUGUCACAGGGUUUAUGGGGAUGUUU